ACACAUGCAAGUCGAGCGGGGUGAGGUGCUUCGGUACUGAUCCUAGCGGCGGACGGGUGAGUAAUGCUUAGGAAUCUGCCAUUUAGUGGGGGACAACAUUCCGAAAGGAAUGCUAAUACCGCAUACGUCCUACGGGAGAAAGCAGGGGAUCUUCGGACCUUGCGCUAAAUGAUGAGCCUAAGUCGGAUUAGCUAGUUGGUGGGGUAAAGGCCUACCAAGGCGACGAUCUGUAGCGGGUCUGAGAGGAUGAUCCGCCACACUGGGACUGAGACACGGCCCAGACUCCUACGGGAGGCAGCAGUGGGGAAUAUUGGACAAUGGGCGGAAGCCUGAUCCAGCCAUGCCGCGUGUGUGAAGAAGGCCUUUUGGUUGUAAAGCACUUUAAGCGAGGAGGAGGCUACCUAGAUUAAUACUCUGGGAUAGUGGACGUUACUCGCAGAAUAAGCACCGGCUAACUCUGUGCCAGCAGCCGCGGUAAUACAGAGGGUGCGAGCGUUAAUCGGAUUUACUGGGCGUAAAGCGUGCGUAGGCGGCUGAUUAAGUCGGAUGUGAAAUCCCUGAGCUUAACUUAGGAAUUGCAUUCGAUACUGGUCAGCUAGAGUAUGGGAGAGGAUGGUAGAAUUCCAGGUGUAGCGGUGAAAUGCGUAGAGAUCUGGAGGAAUACCGAUGGCGAAGGCAGCCAUCUGGCCUAAUACUGACGCUGAGGUACGAAAGCAUGGGGAGCAAACAGGAUUAGAUACCCUGGUAGUCCAUGCCGUAAACGAUGUCUACUAGCCGUUGGGGCCUUUGA
rnacentral:rRNA from 1 species